GUGGAGGUGGCUCAGUGGUAGAGCGCUUGCCUUGCAUGCAUGAAGCCCUGGGUUUGAUUCCCCAGCACCACA
rfam:Dipodomys ordii contig_22381, whole genome shotgun sequence.